rnacentral:rRNA from 1 species
UACAGAGGUCUCGAGCGUUAGGCGGAAUCACUGGGCUUAAAGCGUGUGUAGGUGGAUGCCUAAGUACCUUGUGAAAUCCCACAGCUUAACUGUGGAACUGCUUGGUAUACUGGGUGUCUUGAGUCACUCAGGGGCGAGCGGAACAAAUGGUGGAGCGGUGAAAUGCGUAGAUAUCAUUUGGAACGCCAAUGGUGAAAACAGCUCGCUGGGGGUGUACUGACACUGAGACACGAAGCCAGGGGAGCGAACGGG